rnacentral:lncRNA from 1 species
GAGUAGCUGGGACUAUAGGUGCCCGCCACCACGCCAGGCUAAUUUUUUGUAUUUUUAGUAGAGAUGGGGUUUCACCGUGUUAGCCAGGAUGGUCUCGAUCUUCUGACCUCGUGAUCCGCCCGCCUCGGCCUCCCAAAGUGCUAGGAUUACAGGCGUGAGCCACCGCGCCCGGCAGCAAAUUUUAAGCCAAGAAAUUGAAUGUUGCCAGAACCCCAGGAACCACCCAGCCUCUUCCCAUAUGACCACUUCCCCACACUCUCCACCUUCCUUACUUCUAUGAUGCCCCUGGCUUCAGAUAGAAAGGCCCUGAACAUCUACUGGGGUUUUGAGAAGAAUAUCAACACUUUCCUAAGAGAAUUUUCUAUCUGUAUUGAUGGAUGGUUGGGUGACAUGGACUCCAGUAUGUGCCAUGAAGGAUACGAAGAUGAAGCUGUCAUGAACUCUGCUCUCGAGAAGCUACUGUCAAAGUUUGUUUUUUUUAAACUUGAUAUAUUUGAGGUAGAAUUGACAAGAUUUUAGUAUUGAUGAAAUAAGAUAAAAGGGAUGGUGAAAUUAAUGAUGACUUUAGCCAAAAUAAUUAAUUCAGGUGGGGAGGAGAGAAGGGGAUUGACUGAAUUCUAGUUGACUGAGGCUUACUCAUAGUGGGAAGAGCUGUGAGCCAUGUACUGUUUUAUUUAUUGUUUUGUUUUCGGGUUUUGUUUUUCAAUACCAAAAGUGGAUAUUCAUGGAGUCUGAGAAGCUAGGAUUAGAAAUGCAGUAUGUGACAGCAGAAUGGCAAUGUCAUAAACCGUCACUGUGCUAGGUUCUAGAAAUAAAAUAUAGUUGAUCCUUGAACAACACAGAUUUGAAGUGCCUGGGUCCACUUACAUGCAGAUUUUCAUCCACUUCUGCCAUCCCUGAUACAGCAAGAACAACACCUCCUCUUUCUUCUCCUCCUCAGCCUUCUCAAUGUGAACACCACAAGGAUGAAGACCUUUAUAAUGAUCCAUCUCCACUUAAUUAAGAAUAAAUAUUUUUUCUCUUACUCAUGAUUUUAUUAAUGGUAUUUUCUUUUCUCUAGCUUACUUUAUUAUAAAAAUACAGUAUAUAAUACAUAUAGCACACAAAAUAUGUGUUGAUCGACUAUUUAUGUUAUUGAUAAGGCUUCCGGUCAAAAGUAGGCUAAUAGUAGCUACAUUUUUUGGCAAAUCAAAGGCUAAUUACUUGGAUCUGAUCACUAUACAUUAUGUAUAUCACAACAUCACUAUGUGCCCCAUAAAUAUGUACAAUUAUUGUGUUUAUUUAAAAUUUGGAAAAUAAAAAGUUACAAAACAUUUUUUUAAAAUUUAAAAUUUAAAA